rnacentral:rRNA from 1 species
UGCNAGUCGANCGGGAAUCUUCGGAUUCUAGUGGCGGACGGGUGAGUAACGCGUAAGAAUCUAACUUCAGGACGGGGACAACAGUUGGAAACGACUGCUAAUACCCGAUGUGCCGAAAGGUGAAACCUAAUUGGCCUGAAGAAGAGCUUGCGUCUGAUUAGCUAGUUGGUGGGGUAAAGGCCUACCAAGGCGAUGAUCAGUAGCUGGUCUGAGAGGAUGAGCAGCCACACUGGGACUGAGACACGGCCCAGACUCCUACGGGAGGCAGCAGUGGGGAAUUUUCCGCAAUGGGCGAAAGCCUGACGGAGCAACGCCGCGUGAGGGAGGAAGGUCUUUGGAUUGUAAACCUCUUUUCUCAAGGAAGAAGUUCUGACGGUACUUGAGGAAUCAGCCUCGGCUAACUCCGUGCCAGCAGCCGCGGUAAUACGGGGGAGGCAAGCGUUAUCCGGAAUUAUUGGGCGUAAAGCGUCCGCAGGUGGUCAGCCAAGUCUGCCGUCAAAUCAGGUUGCUUAACGACCUAAAGGCGGUGGAAACUGGCAGACUAGAGAGCAGUAGGGGUAGCAGGAAUUCCCAGUGUAGCGGUGAAAUGCGUAGAGAUUGGGAAGAACAUCGGUGGCGAAAGCGUGCUACUGGGCUGUAUCUGACACUCAGGGACGAAAGCUAGGGGAGCGAAAGGGAUUAGAUACCCCUGUAGUCCUAGCCGUAAACGAUGGAUACUAGGCGUGGCUUGUAUCGACCCGAGCCGUGCCGAAGCUAACGCGUUAAGUAUCCCGCCUGGGGAGUACGCACGCAAGUGUGAAACUCAAAGGAAUUGACGGGGGCCCGCACAAGCGGNGGAGUAUGUGGUUUAAUUCGAUGCAACGCGAAGAACCUUACCAAGACU